ACUCAGCAGCGGCAGCUCACGCCACCCGUUUCCCCCCACCCGCCCUCCCCCACCUUAUUUCCCUUGCCAACUGUCACCGCCACCUCUUUCUCUCAACCAGCCAACCACUGCUUUCUGGCAUUCCUCUCCAUCUCUCGGCAGUUGUCUACAAACUCUUGCGAGAGCUGCCGUGCACGGGCAGAGAGAGAGCUGCCAUGCACGUCUCUGUGAUGUGCGUGCGCACGUUACGGAUAUGUGAAGCGCGCGAUGUGCGCGUGCUCUACAGGGUUAUUGAAGCUUUGGAGAGUGUAGCCAACAGCAGCUGCAGCAGCAAAAUGUAAGAAGGGGUGGCAGGGAGGUAUCCUGCUGCCCCAAUUAUUAAAAGAACUACGGGCGCCGGACGGAGAAGCGGUGGGAGGGGAAAGGGAAAAGCAUCCAAACAACACAGGAUCAACAAAUUCUUGUCCAUGAAUGAAACCGAGAACCUGCAAAGUCCUUUCGCUACUCGAAAUAGGUUGCAGUUCUGGAAGGGGAUGUGCUGCUGCAAAGCUCCGAUUUAUUGGACUUGAAAAAGAAGAAAAAUGGGCAGGAGAGAGAAAAGAGAAAGGCAGAGAGAAGAUCAACAUACAUGGUUAAAAAGCAUGCAGGAUGCAAGUUGCAGGUGGGUGCAAGGUCUGAAAAGGAUGACGACUACUGAAGUAGUAGAGAUUCAGAGAUCACACAAAAUAUUUUCAUUUCUGUGGGAUGGCAUGGUCUAGCUUUCAGCCAAUGAUGAUGGUGAGAAAGAAUUAGCACAGACAGAAAGCACGUAUUAAUUCUGACAAAUGCAUUGUCAGAAUAAUCAAAGAUGCUCUAAGAAGUAAGAGGUCGUGCCAAUAGUCUCAUGUGAGAGUCGGGACUUGGAGAUAUGCUGAUUCCACAUGCAGAUUAUUAAUAAUCCUAGUUGAAAGAAGUUCUAUUACUCUUGAAAGAAGGGAAGGUCAGUAUUGCAGCAAUUCUAUGUACAGCCUCAUGUAUAGAGAACUUCAGUUUAAAUCUAUAUUAAGACUUUGUUGUCACUAGCACCUACCCAUUUAUACAGAUUUCUUUUAAAAAGUAAAUAUGGUUAACUGUGAACAUGUUAUUUCUUAUUAAAUAGAAUUUUUGUGUGGUUU